rnacentral:rRNA from 1 species
AGAGUUGAUCAGUGGCUCGGGACGAACGCUGGCGGCGUGCUUAACACAUGCAAGUCGAGCGGAAAGGCCCUUCGGGGUACUCGAGCGGCGAACGGGUGAGUAACACGUGAGCAACCUGCCCCAGGCUUUGGGAUAACCCCGGGAAACCGGGGCUAAUACCGAAUAUGACCUUGCACCGCAUGGUGUUUGGUGGAAAGUUUUUCGGCUUGGGAUGGGCUCGCGGCCUAUCAGCUUGUUGGUGGGGUGAUGGCCUACCAAGGCGACGACGGGUAGCCGGCCUGAGAGGGCGACCGGCCACACUGGGACUGAGACACGGCCCAGACUCCUACGGGAGGCAGCAGUGGGGAAUAUUGCACAAUGGGCGGAAGCCUGAUGCAGCCGACGCCGCGUGAGGGAUGACGGCCUUCGGGUUGUAAACCUCUUUCAGCAGGGACGAAGCGUAAGUGACGGUACCUGCAGAAGAAGCGCCGGCCAACUACGUGCCAGCAGCCGC